rnacentral:misc_RNA from 1 species
GGCGUAGGCCUUUCAUAUCCCUGUUUACUGAUAGCUUUCAUCAACUCAGCAGAAAAACCAGUGUCUUCAAAUGUCUUAAUUGGCCUUGGUACAUCAAAGCCUGAUACACGAAUGGCCAAGCCUGUCCUAUAUUCAUUAACUUCCUGAUCGCUCAUACCUGAAAUAGAAGGCUUUUCCUCGUAAAAAUCCUUGUUGAAAGGCUCAUAGUCAAUCUCACUAUGAUCCAGAGCAGUAAUCGGCUCAAUCUUCUUUUUAUCAACAACAAUAGGAUUAUCGUCGGAGUCAUACUCAACUAAUCCUGCAUCAAC